UACACGGCCCGUACCCCAAACCGACACAGGUGAUCAGGUAGAGAAUACCAAGGCGAUCGAGAGAACUGUGGUUAAGGAACUCGGCAAAAUGCCCCCGUAACUUCGGGAGAAGGGGGACCAUGCCCGGUGAACAUCUUCACGGUGGGAGCUGGGUGUGGUCGCAGAGACCAGAGAGAAGCGACUGUUUACUAAAAACACAGGUCCGUGCGAAGACGUAAGUCGAUGUAUACGGACUGACGCCUGCCCGGUGCUGGAAGGUUAAGAGGACCGGUUAGCCGUAAGGCGAAGCUGAGAAUUUAAGCCCCAGUAAACGGCGGUGGUAACUAUAACCAUCCUAAGGUAGCGAAAUUCCUUGUCGGGUAAGUUCCGACCUGCACGAAUGGCGUAACGACUUCUCUGCUGUCUCGACCACAGACUCGGCGAAAUUGCACUACGAGUAAAGAUGCUCGUUACGCGCGGCAGGACGAAAAGACCCCGGGACCUUUACUAUAGCUUGGUAUUGGCGUUCGAUUCGGUUUGUGUAGGAUAGGUGGGAGACUGUGAAGCAUGCACGCCAGUGUGUGUGGAGUCGUUGUUGAAAUACCACUCUGAUCGUAUUGGACGUCUAACCUCGGCCCAUGAUCUGGGUUAGGGACAGUGCCUGGUGGGUAGUUUAACUGGGGCGGUUGCCUCCUAAAGAGUAACGGAGGCGCCCAAAGGUUCCCUCAGCCUGGAUGGCAAUCAGGUGUUGAGUGCAAGUGCACAAGGGAGCUUGACUGUGAGACUGACACGUCGAGCAGGGACGAAAGUCGGGACUAGUGAUCCGGCACCGGCAAGUGGAAGCGGUGUCGCUCAACGGAUAAAAGGUACCCCGGGGAUAACAGGCUGAUCUUCCCCAAGAGCCCAUAUCGACGGGAUGGUUUGGCACCUCGAUGUCGGCUCGUCGCAUCCUGGGGCUGGAGUAGGUCCCAAGGGUUGGGCUGUUCGCCCAUUAAAGCGGCACGCGAGCUGGGUUUAGAACGUCGUGAGACAGUUCGGUCUCUAUCCGCCGCGCGCGUAAGAAACUUGAGGAAGGCUGUCCCUAGUACGAGAGGACCGGGACGGACGAACCUCUGGUGUGCCAGUUGUUCCACCAGGAGCAUGGCUGGUUAGCUACGUUCGGAAGGGAUAACCGCUGAAAGCAUCUAAGCGGGAAGCCUGUUCCAAGAUGAGGUUUCUCACCACUUGCGUGGUUAAGGCCCCCUACAGACCAUGGGGUUGAUAGGCCGGAACUGGAAGCGCAGCAAUGCGUGGAGGUGACCGGUACUAAUAGGCCGAGGGCU
rnacentral:rRNA from 1 species